rnacentral:rRNA from 1 species
AACGGUAACAGGAAGCAGCUUGCUGCUUCGCUGACGAGUGGCGGACGGGUGAGUAAUGUCUGGGAAACUGCCUGAUGGAGGGGGAUAACUACUGGAAACGGUAGCUAAUACCGCAUAACGUCGCAAGACCAAAGAGGGGGACCUUCGGGCCUCUUGCCAUCGGAUGUGCCCAGAUGGGAUUAGCUAGUAGGUGGGGUAACGGCUCACCUAGGCGACGAUCCCUAGCUGGUCUGAGAGGAUGACCAGCCACACUGGAACUGAGACACGGUCCAGACUCCUACGGGAGGCAGCAGUGGGGAAUACUGCACAAUGGGCGCAAGCCUGAUGCAGCCAUGCCGCGUGUAUGAAGAAGGCCUUCGGGUUGUAAAGUACUUUCAGCGGGGAGGAAGGUGUUGAGGUUAAUAACCUC